CCCAACGUGGGGCAAAACAAGGGAGAGGAAAAAAAGGCUUUCCACAGCACCUACCUCCAGUGGCAAAACGGGGCCCAUUGAGAAACAGAAAAGAGGAGGUAAGUUAAGCAUACCUCUCUCUCUUUAUUUUAUUUAUUUAUUUAUUUAUUUUAACAUAAGAUUUGCCACACAGAGGUUCUGCUUUGGAAAGAAUGUAUUGAUUUUAAAGGCGAGACAAGUGAGGCAUUGCUGCUUCUUUUUGUGACCACCAGUUGUAAUUUUCCGCGGAAAAUGGAUUGUCAUAAAAUACGAAAAGAUGAGGAACGUGGAUUCCAACACAAUUGACAAACUCGACAAUCUUAAUGAAGUGACAUGUGACUCCCAGCCGCUUUAAUCGUACGUCUCGUUAGAAAACGCUAGUAUGACGACGAAUAGAAAAUGGAUCGGACCAUGACGGUUUAAGCUGAAGUUUUCUAAUAUAUAUAACUUUUUAGAAUCAAAAAAUCAUCAUGAGGGUGAUUUUAGAAACAUGGGCUGGUCGGAGUCUUAAGAGGUGAAGCCUCUGAGUAAGCCGUUCUCUCUAGCUCGUACCCGUUUGUACGUGCGAGUAUUUGAAAGAUCGGGCCGAACUGAAGUUGUUUUGUGAAGCUGAGAUCUCCGGUUUAGGCUUUGAGGUGAGAAGAAACCUCCGAUUAAAUUUGAAAUAGUAGGCCUGUUUUGACUUGUUACUCCCAGCCGCUUUAAUCGUACGUCUCGUUAGAAAACGCUAGUAUGACGACGAAUAGAAGAUGAAUCGGACCAUAACGGUUUAAGCUGAAGUCUUCUAAUAUAUAUAUCUUUUUAGAAUAAAGAAAUCAUUGUAAAAGGUUGGUUUCAUAAAUGUCCGGCUGGUCGGAGUAUUAAGAGGUAGAGCCUCUUUGAGAAGUGAAGCGUGAAGCGCUGUACAUGGCCGAUUGGAGGUUCGACUUGCGAGUGACUCCAAUGAGAUGUGGCCUUAGUGAACUGCAGUUGUUUUGUGAAGCUGAGAUCUCUGGUUUAGGCUUUGAGGUGAGAAAAACCUCCGGUUAAAUUUUGAAAUAGUAGGCCUGUUUGGUGCAUGCAGAUUUUUUUUUUUCGGGCGAGGCCCUAGUUGUAAGCGCUUGUAAAAGAGAAAUGAGGUUUCUCUUGGAUCAUCAGUGUGUCUUAAAGAGUUAACUGCAGUCUGGGUUGUUUGAGUACUCUGGUUUAGGUAACGAGGUGAAAACCUCCUAUUAAAUUUGACAUAGAAGGCCUGUUCUAAAGCACGUGCAGUAUGAACUUUUUUUUUACUCUUGUUUUUCUCCUUGUAUUAUGGGUCCUUUAAAAUUAAAAGCCAAAAUUCACUGUGCGCACAUAUAUAAAAUAAGAGAAUUGGACAUCUGGACCAUCAGGAAAGCCACUAGUUUCCCAAAGAAGUGAGAUGAGAGAAAUGAUUCUGAAAUGAGCGAUCAGGAGAGAGUUUGAGAUGCGUGUGCAUGAGACGUCUAUUUGUGAGUCUAUAUGAGAGCUCUGUUUGACAAAAAAAAGCAUGUAUGGAACUGAGUUUGUUUGCUGUAUAUUUGUUGUUCUCUUAAAAGUCGCAUUGUCUGAAUUAAGGGUAAAGUUUGUCAUAUUUGAUGAGGAAAAGUGCAUGAAAACUUAUUUUUCUGUAAGGAGAUAUUGCUGGACCAGGGUGGGUGUAUUUGUUGAGCUGCAGUAUUGACCCUCCCCCCCCCCCUUGUGGAGGCCCCAGCGACUUUGUCCCCCCACUUCGUCAGUGAGAGCCUGCUUUCGCUCUGCUCUCCCCCGGCCAAAGAAGAAAAAAAAAAAAACUUGAGGGUAGAGUUUGAAUUGGAAGAGUAUCUUACAAAAAAAAAAAAAAAAAAACUAUAACCCCUUGGUACCUCCUUGGCAACCCUUCUCGUUUGCCAACUUAAACUCACUCUGUUCAAAGAACAUUAACCCAUUAAUAACCCUACUGUCGACAUUUGGGUUUACUAGAUCGAUCCAUGAUUUUGAGUUUGAGUUGGGGCCUACUUAGAAUGGAUGUUUAAUUGGACGUGUGAUGUGAUGUAUGGGGUUAUUUGAAUGGGUGAAAUGCAUGUGAUAAGGUAUUAACACUGCAUGUUUGGCUUUAAGCAUUAACAGUUGCUUCAAUCGUAAUGCAGAGCAAACUCGCUGUGUAAAAGCAGACACACACACACACGCGCAUGCUUUUAAAUAACUGCUGACAAGCAACUAGAAACGCAAAACUAUUUAUAGCAAUUAAUAGAAUAAAUGCCGGCAAGAUUAUCUAUAACAUACAAAAGUUUGUGUUUGUGUAAAUGUUGUCUAAAUGUUGUGUACGUCUGUCUCUAAGUGUUGUUUAGGGGUAUUUUGUGCAAAUGUUUAAUCUAUGUGUGAAGGCGGUUUACUGACAGUUGUCUGACGUUUGUCUGUGCUAUCGCAGUAUGUUUUAAUAAUGAUGUUGACAAGCAUUAUUAACGUAAUGAAAUAGUGGAUCAACGAGAAUUUAUUAUUGUAAACAAGGGUCAAAAGUUUUAGCUGUCCACAAUGCCUGAUGUCUCAGUAUUCACAAAAGUCCGGACUGAAGUGAAUGUUGGCGAAUUGCCUUGAGAUUAUGCAUUGGAUUGCACUAAAUUCUUAGGAAUACUGGGGUGUCAGUCAGGCUGGAACUCAAUUGUGAGGUUGAUUAAAAGAAAUCAUCAUCCAUAAGCAUUCGUCAGUAUCAGGAGUAUUAGAGAGAAAAACCAUGAAUGAUGUCUGUGUAUUAUGUGAUAAUGAUGUCUUAAGAACUAGGAUCAUUAGACUAUUGGUAUAUUUACGGUAACAUAUACUUGAGUUAAUGGUUUAGAUAAUUAAAGUGUAAAUAUUACUGAACUUUGCGGUUAUGCAAAAAACUUUGGAAGUGGUUGUGUCUCUCCUCUCCUAAAUUCCAUGAUUGACACAAUGCCAGGAGCUGCAGAGCUCUGAGAGCAAACUGCAGAGAGGAGAGGAGAGCAGCAGAAGGGGGGGCUGAGACUCCCGACUGCACAUGGGCGACCCUAGAAAAAACAGGGCCCCAACAUAUUUGACGUCUGUCGAAUCACUAUGAAUCAAUAAACCAUAAAAUUUAAGGAAUAUGGGAAAUCUGGAUAAUUAACAAUAACUUAAACGGGAAACUGAAAAGGAGGCUUGUGAUAAAAAGGUACUUCUAAAUUAGUUCACCUUUGGUUGGUUCACCAUUGGGACUGGUUAUUAAAAUACAAGUUUAAUGUAAGCAACAGCUAAAUAUUGCAGCAUUAACAGUGAUUAAUAAGGUCUAAUUUGAAUAGAAUUAGAGUUGUCAAAGAAUAGGUUGUGAUAAUUGUCAUCCUUACUAAAAAUAAUAAAAUAAAAUAACUUAGAGUGCGAAGUAAGAUGGUGAAUUAAUUAUUUUGCCAUUGGGAAACCUCCUUGAAUUUAUGUGAUAACAUCCAAAAUUAUAAAAUGACUUCAGAAAAUUGGUUAAUUUCGUUGCAGGGAAAGUAAUGAACAAAAUAGAACAUAAGAAAACUUAAGGAAUCAACUCAUUAAUCUCUAAAUGGUGGAUCUGAUGAAAAGGGUUGCACACGCUGAAAUGGCACUGAAGGAGAAAUGCCUAAUGAGGUUUGUCAACACGGAGAACCAGAACAAAAUCUUCCUCAGCUGGAGUCCUGUAUGGAUUCCAGAGCACUGGCUCAAUGGCUGCUCAGACAUGGAGCAGCGAAGGACGCUCAGGCCGUCAGGAAACACGGCUGAGCAAAGGAAGCGGUCUCCACAUCUGUUGACAAUGACCAGGAAAAAGAGCUGCAGCACACUGAUAUUUGUGAAAACCCAGCAACUGAAGGUCCACCACAAGAAUUAGCACAAUCCAAUCGAUUUAAUUAAUUCUGGAGGUAAAGUAAAACAAACAUUGAGAAUGGCAACUAGUUACUAUAAAGUAACAAAAUUACAUAAGUGGCUAAAAUUAAAUUGUCCAGUGUAAUUAUUAACAGAAAAUUCCCCUUCCUCAGUAAAGUUAACAUUUUAUUUUAUUCCUUUGAAGGUAAACCAGCAGAUUGUUGAAUAAUAAAGACGAUGGUUUCUCCUAUGACAAAGUAAUUAAUUACCUCAUGUACUGUUAAUUCGGAAAUAGGCACUUUUAAGAAGAGGAUAGCAGGUUUUGAGCAUUACAGAACAAAUUAAGUAUUCAACACUAGAGUGUCACGUUAUGAUUAAAUGACACGAGUUGAUUGGGAAAGCAAUAACGUAUGUAUUUGAAAACAAUUAUUCUGCAAGCAUUGUUAAAAUACAUAAACACUAGAAAAAGAUUAUAGUCAUAAAGUAAAAGAAUUUGGUUUGAAGAAAUUUCAGAAAUAGUAUUGAACCCUGAGAACUAAGUACUUUUAUUUAUUUCCUUUAAACUUUAGACAAAAGAAGGACAUGUUAUUAUUACUAACUUCUCUUUGCCAUUAUACUAAUAUUCUUAAAGUGGUUUGGAACAAAUUCAGCGAAGAAACACAAAUCACAAGCCUCUGCUCAGUUCAGUGAGUAUUUUAUUUCAGUAAUUAAAACCUUGGGUAAAAGUGAAUCAAUCUGUGACAGCAACCCGUUUUUGGUAUAACUAUAAAAAUCCUAAUGUAAAAGGAUACAUGGUGUACUUGUAAAUGCUUCAUUUGAAAAUUGAGUUUCUCACCAGGUAAACAGACUCAGCCAAAAUAAAAAAGAGUAAAUCACCGGAUUUAAUAGAGUAAUGACAGGACCAGGUUUUGAUUGCAUGCUUGGCAUUAACAACUCAGUCCUGAUUGAGAGCACUAACUGUUCUGUCUUCAGUCCUGUUUUUCAGAAGUUGAGAUUCUGUCCGGUUCUGGCCACCCUUUUUCUGAUGGAAGAUACAUCAAAAAGACGAGAAGAACAGCUGUAAAUUGAGCAUGGAGAGACGAGAUAUCUUUCAGGAGCAGACGGAGAGCAGAUUUGCACAGGAGAAUGGCUGAAUCUGGGUACUGGCAGAGUAAGCCCUGUGCACAUAUCCUUCUAAAUUGUGAAUUUUGAUGAAUGAUUUUGUGACAAAUGAGGACAUUGUAAACCUUUUUUGAUAAAUAUGUGUAAGGUCACUAUUUUGCCGUUGAUGUGGACUUUAAGUUCUAAAUGUGCUCAUGUAUUUUUUAUUUUUCUACUGUUCCUAUGUCCUGGAGUGGAGCAUGGUUCAUGGAGGAUGGGAUGAAUUGUCACCGAAGCGGACUUUCAUGUAUGGGCUGAUAAUAUAAUGAGAAAAGGUGAUGUUAUUAGAAAACAAUUCGAACAAUUUUUCAGUAAGACCAUUGCUUUAGCUGCUACAGGUUGCAUGUUAUGCUGUGGCUGAACAUUCUACAUUAUUUUCAAACAUUAUGUUCUCUAUGUUCUUAAUAUUUUGUUUUUAAUUGAGUCGGCAUAGCUGUUGUUUUUGUUUUGAUUUAAGCUUUCAGGUGAGCGAUCUUGGAAGGUAUUUAAAUUUGGAAGUUCAAGUCAAAUACACACAAAAAGAUCAUGUUGCAGGAUAAGUUAAGGUGCAAUUACGUAUAAACAGAGUGUUGUAAUGUUAUUAGUGAAUUCUUACAACUUAUACUCAGUACGAGUUGAGAUGAAACUAAAAAUGAAAUCAGAUGGACACUAAACAUCAAUGUUAAAGAAAAUGUACAUUAGCCCCAUUGGCAUUUAAAGGAUAUCAUCAUGAGACUAGUGAAGACUCUGAGCUGGGAAACCAUUGUAAUAUACGAUACUGGUUAGUUUUUCCUGUCUCCUUAGGGCGACCCAGGGACGUAGAAGGGCGGGGUCCCUCUUUGUGUGCUGGACUAAGGGACUCAGAUGUUUGCAACAGAGGGGGCCCUGCACCAGGACUGUGAGAAAGCAGUGCAAUUUAAUCAAAGGACCUUGGAGAGCGACAUAUGGUGUCAGCGACAUGAGGACAAGAACUUUGCCACACUACGAAGCUGCCAAUCCCAUCAAAUGUUACAAAUUCUGAUUUUAUCUAUGCUAUGCUAAAUCCCUGAAGUUUUUGAUUUAUGAUAAGGUGUAGGAUGGGUAUAUUUUUUAGGAAGAUGUUUUUGGGUGGUAACCAUAGAAACUGAAUGAUGAUAUUAUACUAUUCUAAUUUUUUUAAUUUUGCUUAAUAUGUUUGUCUUCUUUCCUGUUAUUUUUAAGAUGUUUAUGUUUUUUGACGACAUUGUGAGUACCAUGGCUGGGUUUCUGAGCCAUGCUGGUCGGUCAGGUGGUCGGCUGGCGGACGCCCGUGGGGGAGGGGUCCAUGCAACAGUUUUUACCCUGAAUGAACACAUAAAUACCAGCGACAGGGAUUUUUCGGUUGCAUAUGGUCAGAAAUAACUGGCAUAUGGAAAAACAAUGGACAUUUUGUACAUUCGUAUAUAGUUGAGUGCAUGUUUUUAUUUUAUUCUACAUUUACGACCAUACAUUACCAAUUUUUCUUUGUUCUUUUUUUCUGUUUGAUAAUCAGAGCAAGUAUUUUUACCCUUUUAUAUUCCUCUAGUGCUCCACAAUUACAUUAUUCCGUUUUUCUUAUAGUUCCCAGUGUGAUUUUCCCUUGAUAUGGCUCACGUAAGUGAGCCAAGGGGGGAUGUAUGGACGAAUUCAUCUUUUAUUAUUGCCAAGAUUGAAUCCAGGUUGUCUUAAUAACAGAAAUCACUGCCCAAGGAAUGAUUAGUUCUAGAAUAUUUGUACUGAAUCACAACAAGGUAAAGUAAGGCCAAAGGAACUUUAGUUAAACUACUCUUGGCUCUUACUCUGUUUCUGUCUUUUUCCAAAGUUCUGGUUAUAAGACUUCCUAGAAAUGGAAGAGCACACACCAUUUCACACACACACCCCUCCAACUAGGGAGGGAGGGCUUUUGGUCCAGAGCAGUGCCUGUACACAGUAAGAUAUCAUGUUCCUAUUUACGUCAUACUGUAUCCCUAUAAAGGCUGAAAGUUACCCCAUAUUGUUGGGAUUGUUGGGACUGCUGUGAAAUGAAGAUGAUUGUAAGUCCAGAAUAAACGAAUCCCCCUGCUGGUCAUUGAAGAGAA